UACAGAGGUGGCAAGCGUUGUUCGGAAUUACUGGGCGUAAAGGGCGCGUAGGCGGUCAGGUCAGUCCCGUGUGAAAUCCCUCGGCUCAACUGAGGAACUGCACGGGAAACUGCCUGGCUUGAGUUCGGGAGAGGGAAGCGGAAUUCCGGGUGUAGCGGUGAAAUGCGUAGAUAUCCGGAGGAACACCGGCGGCGAAGGCGGCUUCCUGGACCGACACUGACGCUGAGGCGCGAAAGCUAGGGGAGCAAACGGG
rnacentral:rRNA from 1 species